ACAGUGGGAACUCGCCUAAGAAAGCCAUCUCAUAAAUACUUUUUCUAAAACUCCGUGGAUGUGCAUGUAUAAUACCUCAACUUGUAGCCAAAGAGUUACUCUAUCAUUAUAAAUAUGAUUCAAAUCUCUGACUAUUCAUACUUCAUAGAAUAGAGCCUCUAAAGUCAAGGAAUGAAAAAAAUACAAAAAUAAUUUUGUAACUUAAAUUUGUUUAGUAUAAGUUUAUAGUAUCAAAACAAUAUCAAGUCAUAUAGUGUGAUACCAUUUUAGAAUCCUUGGAAUGUGUACUUUACUAUAAUAUAAAAAUAUAUUUAGUUUAGUCGAAUAUUAUUUAACUAAAAAUCCAUAUAUCGUUAUAUGUACUAUUUUCUUUUCUCAGACUUUCACUUGGAGAUUUGACAGUUGCCGAAGCUUGCCGAAGUUCUAAAUUUGGUUUUAUUUAUUAGGAAAUAUAAUUUAAUUGGAUGGCAUAACAUUUUUUUUUGCAGUUUCACUGCGUAAAAUAUUUAAAUCGAGUAUAAUAUCAUGAUAGCCAAUAUAGCAAAAAUUAUCGCAAGUAUUUAGAAGUCCUUCAUAACUCAGUUUCGUCAACGCUAUACGAAAUGUGGUCGAAAGAAAGAACAGUUUUUAAAUAAAAUAGCAAUUGAUAGGAUGGUAUUUUCACUGUAAAUCUAGAAAAAACUACAUGCGAACCUACACCUCCUACUUCGACAGAGAAAAGAGGAAGACCUUCUAAAACGUACGAAGACAGUUCGGACAAAGAAACGGAAAAACAAGGGAUUGCUUGAUACCUGUGGACUUCAUACUGAACUCAUAAUAUGUACAGGGUUUAAGGGUUUCAUCGUUGAUAUUUUACGAGCAUUGCCGGCAGAAAACUAGAAUGAAAUGAGCAAUCUUAAUGAGUAAUCUUAUUAAUGAACCGGCACAUAUAGCAGCAUAUUCAAAACAUUAAGCUCUUAGCAUGUUCAUAAAAUUGGAUCUGAACAAGGCACAGUAUAAAAAUAUGAGGAGUUGUUUGAUAGCAACACUAAUGACGGCAAUACAGCCAGAAGAUUUUUCCAAAAUUAUCAUUGUACAUUAAAUAUCACUGGUAUAUAUGAGGAAUUAAUAAAACUGUUAUGUUAUGAAAUGAAAUGUGAACGUGUGACACGUCACUUUUCUGUCUUGCCUCUCGGGCAAGUUUCAGAAGAUGCUCAAGAGUUACGGAACAAAGACUAUAAACAGUUCAAGCUUCAUCAUGCAAGACAAUGUUCGAGGGUAGCCUCUAACAAAGAUGUUCUACACGCAUUUUUAUAUACCUCUGACCCAUACAUAACAAGUUUAAGAAAACCUUCAAAUUAAAAAUAUUUAGCACUUUUUGAUGAAGCAAAGGAGCUCUUGAGUGACUU